rnacentral:lncRNA from 1 species
CCCAAGGAACGCCGGUGCCUUGUUCCCCAUGGCUGUAAUCACACUGAAGUUUCACUGACCACAGUCUCAAGAUUUCAAAAACUUUAAGACAUUAUUCCUUCCUCGUCUUUUUUUUUUUUUUUUUUUUUAAGAGACAGGAUCUUGCUGUGUUGCCCAAGCUAGAGUGCAAUGGUGCAAUCAUAGCUCAUUGCAGCCUUGAACUACUAGGCUCAAGCGAUCCUCCCCACUCAGCCUCCUGAGUAGCUGGGACUAUAGGUGUGUGCUACCACAUCCGGCUAAUUUUUAAUUUUUUUUUUUUUUUUAGAACACCCUGCAGUUCACAGUUUAUUUCACUGUUUUAAAACUUAAACACAUAUAAGAACUCCAAGUAGUCACAAAGAACUGCAGAAUUGGAAAGAACUCCAAUUUUCAUGUCUUUAUCUUUACAGUUCAUGUGCUAUCAUUGUUUAUUUUGAAUAUACUGUGUGAAUGCAGGAAGGAAUAUGCUGUGUCACGGGAGAUGGAGACACAAACUGUGUCCUAUGGAAGCUCAACUGAUUCUGAACUGUUACGUACUUUUACCCAAAUCAAGCUGAAUUUGCCAAUGUCAGGGGCCCACA